CGGGGGGUGGCUCAGCUCGGUUAGAGCGCUUGGUUCGGGACCAAGAAGCCGCGGGUUCAAAUCCCGCUCCCCCGA
rnacentral:tRNA from 1 species